rnacentral:rRNA from 1 species
CGCCUACGGGAGGCAGCAGUAGGGAAUCUUCCACAAUGGACGAAAGUCUGAUGGAGCAACGCCGCGUGAGUGAAGAAGGGUUUCGGCUCGUAAAGCUCUGUUGGUAGUGAAGAAAGAUAGAGGUAGUAACUGGCCUUUAUUUGACGGUAAUUACUUAGAAAGUCACGGCUAACUACGUUCCAGCAGCCGCGGUAAUACGUAGGUGGCAAGCGUUGUCCGGAUUUAUUGGGCGUAAAGCGAGUGCAGGCGGGUCCAUAAAUCUGAUGUGUAAAUCUU